rnacentral:lncRNA from 1 species
AUAAAUGCUAGACAUAAAGGUUCUCCACGUCCCCACCAGACUCAGGAGCCCAGCUGGCCUCACCCAGUGGAUCCCGCACCAGGGCCGCAGAUAAGAAGUGACUUUCGCCCUCUGCCAUGAUUGUGAGACCUCCUCAGCCACGUGGAACUUCUUUGAGUAUGCUCAGCGCGUGCCAUCAUGGGGCCAUGUUCUUCCCCUUUGCUCUUGGAGAAUAGACAAAGCUACCCAGCCCAGCCACAGCCUCAUAAUCUUGUUCUACCUCCCUCUCCAGCCUCAACUAUUUCCAGGCUCCAGCUCAAGUCAUACAUCAGAUGGAGUCUUGCUCUGUCACCCAGGCUGGAGUGCAAUGGCGCGAUCUCCACUCACUGCAACCUCUGCAUACCAGGUUCAAGCGAUUCUCCUGUCUCAGCCUCCUGAGUAGCUGGGAUUACAGGUGCCCACCACCACAGCUGGCUAAUUUUUGUAUUUUUAGUAGAGACUGGGUUUUACCAUAUUGGCCAGACUGGUCUCGAACUCCUGACCUCAGGUGGUCCGCCUGCCUUGGCUUCCCAAAGUGCUGGGAUUAUAGGAGUGAGCCACUGCGCCUGGCCAUUUGAUUCUUAUAACACCUUUGAAAGUAGGCAUGACAAAUAUUAUAAUCACAAUGUUACAUAAUAUUAUGCUGGUUUUAGAAAGAAGGGAACUGAGGCUCUGCAGGGUGCUUAGAAGUUUUGCUGCUGAAGUUUAGGUGCAUUUGCUUCUAUUCAAUGUCUUUGUUACCAUCUGAACAACCAUACAGUUGGCUGUGAUGCUGAAAAUGUCCCGUCAUGCACCUACACUGCCACAGACAAUAUAGUGCACCUUGACCUGAGCUCAGAAUUGCAGGUAUAUUAAAUGUUAGUCUUCACCAUUUAAAGGCAACUGUAUUUCCUAUGGAAGAGACUACUCGUUUUCUCCCUAUGCAUUUCCCCCAUAAGAAUAGAAUUUGUGUUUUUUUUGACUUCAUAGGUAGCUGUCCAGAAUAAAGCGUACAUUACCCAGUACACAUUGGGUCAAGGGAAUGUCAGGUGACUAACUAAAUUCUAGAUGAAACUAGAAGUGUCACAUGACAGCUUCCAAGGCAUAGCAAGGACAUGCUCCUCCUAUGGACUACAACCUAGUUUUUUAUUUGUCUUCUCCUAUAUACUUUAAUGUAGAGGUGGUGUCUGUAGCUGUUACUGCCAUCUUGCUAAUGAGAUGAAGAGGAAUGGAGGUCAGAAGCAGAGCAACAAUCUGGAAGAAGCCUGGGUUCCUGACGACCUUUAGGUCCAAACCACUAUUCCAGCUUCAGACCUCUUUCUUAAGAUGUUUUCAUGAGAGAGAAACAAACUUCUCUCUCAUAUAAGCAGCUAAUUUUAGCCUCUAAUUCAAAUGAACACUAUUCUUAACUAAUAAAAUUUUCAGACAAA